rnacentral:rRNA from 1 species
GACGAACGCUGGCGGCGUGCUUAACACAUGCAAGUCGAACGGAAAGGCCCUGCUUUUGUGGGGUGCUCGAGUGGCGAACGGGUGAGUAACACGUGAGUAACCUGUCCUUGACUUUGGGAUAACUUCAGGCAACUGGGGCUAAUACCGGAUAGGAGCUCCUGCUGCAUGGUGGGGGUUGGAAAGUUUCGGCGGUUGGGGAUGGACUCGCGGCUUAUCAGCUUGUUGGUGGGGUAGUGGCUUACCAAGGCUUUGACGGGUAGCCGGCCUGAGAGGGUGACCGGCCACAUUGGGACUGGGAUGCGGCCCAGACUCCUACGGGAGGCAGCAGUGGGGAAUAUUGCACAAUGGGCGGAAGCCUGAUGCAGCAACGCCGCGUGCGGGAUGACGGCCUUCGGGUUGUAAACCGCUUUCGCCUGUGACGAAGCGUGAGUGACGGUAAUGGGUAAAGAAGCACCGGCUAACUACGUG